UUCCGGUUGAUCCUGCCAGAGGUUACUGCUAUCGAUGAUUCGACUAAGCCAUGCAAGUCGAUAUGUUCCUCGUGAACAUGGCAGACUGCUCAGUAACACGUGGACAACCUACCCUUGGGUCCGGCAUAACCCCGGGAAACUGGGAAUAAUAUCCGGAUAACGUCACAUGAUGCUGGAAUGCGCGAUGGCCGUAAAAUGCAUCCGGCCGCCCAAGGAUGGGUCUGCGGCCUAUCAGGGUAGUAGUGGGUGUAACGUACCUACUAGCCAACAACGGGUACGGGUUGUGAGAGCAAGAGCCCGGAGAUGGAUUCUGAGACACGAAUCCAGGCCCUACGGGGCGCAGCAGGCGCGAAAACUUUACAAUGCGGAAAACCGUGAUAAGGGGAACACCGAGUGCCAGCAUCAUAAUGCUGGCUGUCCAGAUGCCUAAAAUAGCAUCUGUUAGCAAGGGCCGGGCAAGACCGGUGCCAGCCGCCGCGGUAACACCGGCGGCCCGAGUGGUAACCGCUAUUAUUGGGUCUAAAGGGUCCGUAGCCGGCCAGGUAAGUCCUCCUGGGAAAUCUGACAGCUCAACUGUCAGGCUGCUAGGGGGAUACUGCCAGGCUUGGAACCGGGAGAGGUAAGAGGUACUACAUGGGGGUAAGGGGUGAA
rnacentral:rRNA from 1 species